rnacentral:snRNA from 1 species
GAGUGUAAGGGUAUCUGGCUAUGACAUGUCACCCCAUUAACUGUGGAGGUGAUUAAGGUGAAGUGGCUGGCUGGGCGGAUGUGCCCUUCCUCCCUCAGCAUUCCAGAUACAUCCUGCCAAAGCUGCAUGCUUGGUCAAAAAAGAUGUCCUUCUGGGAGAGAAGACCAUUCUUUGGUCAAGGGUAUACAAAUAGCUGUGCUCCCUGCUAAAACCUCCAGACAAACAAUGGAGAAUGAUUAAGACCUGAAGAUGUAGCUCAAUGACAGAUGAUCUGCCCAU